rnacentral:rRNA from 1 species
UUUAUCUUCGGAUAGAGAGACCGGCGCACGGGUGCGUAACGCGUAUGCAAUCUACCUUUUACAGAGGGAUAGCCCAGAGAAAUUUGGAUUAAUACCUCAUAGUAUAUAGACUCGGCAUCGAGAUUAUAUUAAAGUCACAACGGUAAAAGAUGAGCAUGCGUCCCAUUAGCUAGUUGGUAAGGUAACGGCUUACCAAGGCUACGAUGGGUAGGGGUCCUGAGAGGGAGAUCCCCCACACUGGUACUGAGACACGGACCAGACUCCUACGGGAGGCAGCAGUGAGGAAUAUUGGACAAUGGGCGCAAGCCUGAUCCAGCCAUGCCGCGUGCAGGAUGACGGUCCUAUGGAUUGUAAACUGCUUUUAUACGAGAAGAAACACUACUUCGUGAAGUAGCUUGACGGUAUCGUAAGAAUAAGGAUCGGCUAACUCCGUGCCAGCAGCCGCGGUAAUACGGAGGAUCCAAGCGUUAUCCGGAAUCAUUGGGUUUAAAGGGUCCGUAGGCGGUUUAAUAAGUCAGUGGUGAAAGCCCAUCGCUCAACGGUGGAACGGCCAUUGAUACUGUUAGACUUGAAUUAUUAGGAAGUAACUAGAAUAUGUAGUGAAGCGGUGAUGAGGAAAUGCUUAGAGAUUACAUGGAAUACCAAUUGCGAAGGCAGGUUACUACUAAUUGAUUGACGCUGAUGGACG